UACGCCGCCACUUCCCCUCGAUCCAGCUGCUUCCUCCAUCUAGGAAAUCCUAGGGCGUGGUUUUGGGAUGCCGCCGCCACCAUUGCCGGGGUUCCCAGCCUCCGCCACCACCAUCGCCGGGGUUCCCACCCUCCGCCGCCUAACUUUGUGCUCCUACGCCGACCUCCGAGACCGCCGGCGUCGACGCCAUCACAACUCCCAGUCAGGGCAGGACUCAAGGGAGGUCGUGGCUCCCCCAAAUCCGUCUCAAUCCCACCGCCCCGCCCAGGAGGACAUGCAACGACAAGCGUUGGCGCGUCGUCGCGGGUGGCGGCGAGGAGGACGGCCCAUGGCAGCCCCCGAAGCACCACCACGACAGCACCUCGCCGCGGCCCCUCGGCAUGGGUUGGCGCCCCCCGUCCAAGAGAUGGGUAAGCUCCCACUCGACCCCCUCCCCUGAAUUCCUAGAUUGCUUGUGCUCUCCACCGAUCGCUUGAGUGGGCAGCAAGUGGGUCCAAUCUCGAUUUCGUUGCCCAUGUGCAGCUUCUUGUAACAAUUAGGGCGAGAUGUAUAAUGUGUCGGCUAGGAUCUUCUUUGGGAUUUUGCAUUUAGUUGUCGAUUCUAUGAUUUGCCUCUGGUAAAUGUGAGUGAGCACUGAUCCAUCGUCAUAUGGCUGCUGAGAUGAGUUGAUGUUGUGAUUAAAAUUGUGUUGGUGCUCCAGGAGUAGAUGCACUACAGGAGGGAUAGGAGCUCGUUGAUCAUGAGGCUUAUAAGUAUCUCCUUGCUGAAUAUCAGGUUGUGUUCUCUCUCUACUUCAUGUUUUGUCUUACAAGCAAAUAUAGUAUGCAAGUCAUAUUUUUUGACGGAUAGUAAGUGGCAAUCUUUUGUUCAAUUGUCAUUUACAAUCAUUUGUCUGUAGGCGCCAUUUAUUUGUCUGAUGCAUUCUUAAGUUACAAAAUUAACUAUGGGCUCUAGCUAAUGUUGCAGCGACUCACCCUGUAAAUGUAGGUUUGGCUUUUGGCACCAUUGCAUUAAUAUCUGUAGACCUUCUUUGCAGUGUACCAUACUAUUGUCAAACCAGUCUUCAGUAGCAACCGGACAAUCAUCUUGCCACAUACGUGUCCGCUGGCAAGGCUCCACCCUGUUCAAGGGUGGUAUGUCCCAUUGGAAGUGGCUGUUGUGAGAGUCCCAGUGCUGCAUCUUUCAAACGUCUAGAUAAAAGGAUAAAUGAUUCGCCUGAACUUUUGGCAAAAAAAAAAACUAAAAGCUACGCAAUUAUGAUUUUGAUGCUCCCUUCUGAUAGUACGAGAAAAUGGCAUGUACACUUUCCCCUGAAAACUAGAUGUCGUCUCUCAUCAGGUUGCCACUACACUUUCCCCUGAUUUCUUUUCAGUAGUUUAUUACAUUUACUUUUAAUCUUUUAAAAAUAAUAGGACUAUGUAAAUAUACUCCUCGAGACAAAGCAUAGAGUCGCUUAGUUGUGGUUUCUCUUUUAGGCCCAAAUAGACAACUAUAUAUUAUAUACACUGCUGUAGUGCAUGAAACCAUAUGCCAGUAUAGAAUACUUGUACAUCUUGAAUGGACUGGGGUGCAGGUUAGCCUGUUGUUUCUUCUCGAAAACCAUGUUUGGUGGUUAGGAAUAUGGUGUUAUUUCAUUUUUACAUAAUAGAUAUAUGUUUAGUUUCCAGUAAAUAUUAAUUCAAUCACAAGUUCUUUUCUUAGCUUGGGUAUCCUGGCUAAUUUAUCUGCAAUUACAGAAGUAGCAUUGUGAUCUAGCCAAUACUUUUUUUCUUCUCUUUCCUCUCCUUGGUGUGGGGAAGCUGUUGUAUUUUCCAAUGAAUAAAGUAGUGAACCUUUUCAUGUAGUUCUUAUUCAUAUGUAGCUAAUAUUUUCCGUAAAGAACAUAAAUCAACCUUUUCUGUAGUUUUUUAUUUAUCUGUCUUCUCAAUGGAAAAACCAUGUCAAAAAGGGUUAAUUCGCACAGGAAGUGACCAUUAGAAAGUUGCUAUAUCUGUUACUACAAUGCAUAAUUCUAACAUGAUGUUGUUGCAAGUACACAACGAACAUCAUUCUCUCAUUUCUCUACAAAAGGCGGCAUUUUGGCGUACAUAACCUGCCUAUAAUAUCUUUAGACCUUCUUUUCUUGGGAAUUUUCUUCAAAGCAUAGCUGGCUAAUGAUGCUUAUGGUUCAGGUAUGUCAUGUCCAUGGUUUUUCUCAGACCUCUAAUGUAUAACAACCCGAAAGUAUGUGAGGUUAGUUCAUUAUCAGAUAUACUGGAUAGUGAUGCAUGUUUAACAUACUGAUCUCCUGCAGACUGGUAAAUAUGGCACCAAAGUGCAGGACACACUGGUUAUACUGAUCAAGUUAUGGAUGCACAAGUCAACCAAUUAUUAUUGUUUGUAAGGAGGGUAGAAGUAGCAAUUAGUUUCUUUCAUAUCAUGAUAUAGCUCGUUGUUCAGGUUGUUGGUAUGACCUUUUGACCAUUUAGCUGAAGGCAGGCACCACCAACACUUGCUAGAGGUAAGGGACAUAGUAUAGCUCCUUGUUCAGUUUGUGGUAUGAGCUUGAUCAUAGAUAGACAAUGUAUCUGAUGUCUUGAGCUUGAUCUUGAUCUGAAAUGAAGAACCAGUUUUAAGGAA